rnacentral:tRNA from 1 species
AGUCCUGCGGUGAACACACGUCAAAUUGCAAAUUUGAAAAAGCACCGAUUCGUGCCGGGGCUU